rnacentral:rRNA from 1 species
UGUCGAAAGAGGAAAUUCAUUCGCGUUUCGGCUGUCGAAGUUGAGCGUUUGUACGACGAACGACGUUUUAAUGUUGUUUGCUUCUUACGUUCUUCUAGUCGAUGUCGAACGCGUGCACUUUUCCUCUAGUAGGACGUCGCGAUCCGUUGGGUGUCUGUCUAAGGCUUGAGGUGGAGCCCACGUAAUCCUCGUGAUUGCGUGGACCCUUAAUGUCCCGGCAGACUCGCUCGACGGUAUACUAAUGGCGUGGGGCCGCUACCUUUCAGUUAGCGUUCGGCCCGUAGCAAGCGCGUUCUGUGUUGACGGUCAUCGGACCUGGUGCCGAUCCUGUCCCAGAACGACUGUUGGUUGCGGUGUUCUCGAACAGACCUCA